UCUUCCUCUUUUAGCUUCUGUCUUCCAGUCUGGUACCUCCUAUAGGCCAAACCUGGGCAGGCCAUAGGCUGCAAAGUAGAAAUGAAGGGGACAGCCCCAGCUUUAGCAUCACAGAGUUUAGACUAGAGGGAAUGGACUCAGAAGAGAACUCAAAAACUGGCAGAGCACAAUGGUGACCUAGCGAACUUUUCCCUCAUUGCUCAUGUGACAGCCCCUUCAGAGCAGUCAGUGGGAAGUAUGGGACUUGAGGAACGGCUUCACUUCCCCCUUCAUCACCUUGGAUGAUGCUGACAUGUUCUCAUUCUGCCCUCAAAUUAACCUACACACAGUUGUCCUGGAGCUUCUUGGACACAGGCUGAGAAGAGGAGAAAGUGUCAGAUUCAGUGGGAGACUUGGUGCUCUCUGAAGAGCUCUGAAGCUUAUGUCAUGGGUUUCAUCUUUUAUCUCCUAAUAAAUUAAGAUUUUUAUCUACUGCA